rnacentral:rRNA from 1 species
UACGUAGGGUGCAGGCGUUAAUCGGAAUUACUGGGCGUAAAGCGUGCGCAGGCGGUUUCUUAAGUCAGAUGUGAAAGCCCCGGGCUUAACCUGGGAACUGCGUUUGAAACUGGGAGACUUGAGUGUGGCAGAGGGGGGUGGAAUUCCACGUGUAGCAGUGAAAUGCGUAGAUAUCUGGAGGAACACCGGUGGCGAAGGCGGCAUCCUGGACCAACACUGACGCUGAGGAGCGAAAGCCAGGGGAGCAAACGGG